AACGCUAGCUACAGGCUUAACACAUGCAAGUCGAGGGGCAGCAUGACGAUAGCUUGCUACUGUCGAUGGCGACCGGCGCACGGGUGAGUAACGCGUAUCCAACCUUCCCGUUGCUAGGGGAUAACCUUGCGAAAGUAAGACUAAUACCCUAUGAAGUUCUUCGCAGGCAUCUAAAGAGAACGAAAGAUUUAUCGGCAACGGAUGGGGAUGCGUCUGAUUAGGUUGUUGGCGGGGUAACGGCCCACCAAGCCUACGAUCAGUAGGGGUUCUGAGAGGAAGGUCCCCCACAUUGGAACUGAGACACGGUCCAAACUCCUACGGGAGGCAGCAGUGAGGAAUAUUGGUCAAUGGACGGAAGUCUGAACCAGCCAAGUAGCGUGCAGGACGACGGCCCUAUGGGUUGUAAACUGCUUUUAUGUGGGAAUAAAGUGAGGGACGUGUCCCUUUUUGUAGGUACCACAUGAAUAAGGACCGGCUAAUUCCGUGCCAGCAGCCGCGGUAAUACGGAAGGUCCGGGCGUUAUCCGGAUUUAUUGGGUUUAAAGGGAGCGUAGGCUGGAGAUUAAGCGUGUUGUGAAAUGCCGCGGCUCAACCGUGGCACUGCAGCGCGAACUGGUUUCCUUGAGUGCGCUGAAAGUGGGCGGAAUUUGUGGUGUAGCGGUGAAAUGCUUAGAUAUCACGAAGAACUCCGAUUG
rnacentral:rRNA from 1 species